GAAGAGGUGGAGCCUAUCUUUCCUUCUCUUGAAGCUGGACAUUCUACAUGUGGCUUGCUUCAGCCAAUAGAACUUUAGUAAAUGUGACAUAAGCAGAGACUUGAAUAGUACAUUUUCUUUAGAGCUCACUCUCUUGCUGAUAUUUGGGCCCUGAGGCCACUGUGUGAAGAAUCCCUGACUACUCUGCUGGAAGAUAAAAGACAAUGAGGAAAAAAGCUGAUCUAUUCCAGCUGAGGGCCCCCAAGGCUGACCGGUCUGCCAACUACCAGACAUCUCCAAGUUAUACUCAGGAAGAGAAAAAAAUUAAAAGUUCCAGUAGGCCGAGAAGCCCAUGAUCCACCGUGUUGAAGGAAGAUUUGCUUCACCUCACCACCCCCCAACCCCCUCCCGCCCCCCCGCGGUAAUACUAAGCUGUUCACACGCUGUGAAGAAGACCCGAAGACUAGGUUGUCAACUGUUGGGGCCUACCUGCGCCAGACUUCUUCCUCAGUGGCCAGCUUUCUCACCCCCCGUUAGCCACCAGGGGGCCGCCUGCUUGGAACAAGUGGUGUAGACGCCACAGCUUUUCUCCAAACCAACCAAAACAUUCCGGGGCAGCUUUGGAGCAAAGCCCAGGAACUUCCCUGCAAAGGAGAACAGCUCUCCAACUACAGAAGCCUGCAAGUCCUAUGGUGCAGACUUAUUAAGAGUAGAGAAGAAAGCACGGACUUCUCACCGAGGACCAAAGGGAAAUGGGGUCUCUGGGGCCUGCAACUUUCUUAAAAGUGCAUCAGUGAAACCCUGCUUAUCCAGCGGGGUGGUUGUUAAUGCUGUCAGCAGGGGUGGGGGGCCUCUCACCCCUUUCCCUGGGACGCUCAGAAGAAGCGAGAAUAAAACAUACAUGUCACUGGCUGGAAAUCUAGAGAACCUUCCAAUAAAUAACCUAUACAUUGUCAGGCAGCUGAGGAUCCAUAUCGUCAUAACUCUAUUAUACUGCGUGUUACACGAAUAGAUGUGAAUAUUAAAUUAUGAUGUCGGAA
rnacentral:lncRNA from 1 species